rnacentral:rRNA from 1 species
CGGGGAGCACCACAACAGGUGGAGCCUGCGGUUUAAUCGGACUCAACGCCGGGAAACUCACCAGAUAAGACAGCUGAAUGAUAGUCGGGCUGAAGACUCUACUUGACUAGCUGAGAGGAGGUGCAUGGCCGUCGUCAGUUCGUACUGUGAAGCAUCCUGUUAAGUCAGGCAACGAGCGAGACCCACACCAACAGUUGCCAGCUCGUCCUCCGGGAUGGUGGGGACACUGUUGGGACCGCCUCUGCUAAAGAGGAGGAAGGAAUGGGCAACGGUAGGUCAGCAUGCCCCGAAUUAUCUGGGCUACACGCGGGCUACAAUGGGUGGGACAAUGGGUAUCGACACCGAAAGGUGAAGGCAAUCUCCUAAACCCAUCCGUAGUUCGGAUUGUGGGCUGCAACUCGCCCGCAUGAAGCUGGAAGCUGUAGUAAUCGUGUCUCAAAAUGGCACGGUGAAUAUGUCCCUGCUCCUU